ACGAAUCAAAUGAUACCCCACCCGCCAAACCACCAACAUCAGGUGCAUGCAAAACAAAAGCUACCCAGGGUGCUGUUAUCUUCAAAAUUCUACUUCAGUUCAUCCUUCUGUUGCUGCCUAUAGCUUUCUAUUCUUCAACAUGGACCAGCAUCUUGUAAGGUUCAUAUGGUCAUAUGGGACAUGCCUCAAUUACUAUUUAUUUGAGAAUAUGUCUCUGUUAUUGGAAAUAUAAAAAUAUAAUUGAAAA